rnacentral:rRNA from 1 species
GGGGAUAACUAUUGGAAACGAUAGCUAAGACCGCAUAGGUAUAAUGAUCGCAUGAUGAUUAUAUUAAAAACACUUUCGGGUGUUGGUAAAAGAUGGCCUUAUGACGCAUUAGCUAGUUGGAGAGGUAAAGGCUCCCCAAGGCGACGAUGCGUAGCCGGACUGAGAGGUUGAACGGCCACACUGGGACUGAGACACGGCCCAGACUCCUACGGGAGGCAGCAGUAGGGAAUUUUCGGCAAUGGGGGAAACCCUGACCGAGCAACGCCGCGUGAAGGAAGAAGGCAUUCGUGUCGUAAACUUCUGUAAUAAAGGAAGAAUAAGAAUAUCAGGAAAUGGGUAUUUGAUGACGGUACUUUAUGAGCAAGCCACGGCUAACUACGUGCCAGCAGCCGCGGUAAUACGUAGGUGGCGAGCGUUAUCCGGAAUCAUUGGGCGUAAAGAGGGAGCAGGCGGUUUAGAAGGUCUGCGGUGAAAGCCUGAAGCUCAACUUCAGAACAGCCGUGGAAACCAGUAGACUAGAGAUCAGGAGAGGAUCGUGGAAUUCCAUGUGUAGCGGUGAAAUGCGUAGAUAUAUGGAGGAACACCAGUGGCGAAGGCGACGAUCUGGACUGAAACUGACGCUCAUUCCCGAAAGCGUGGGGAGCAAAUAGGAUUAGAUACCCUAGUAGUCCACGCUGU